UAAUAAAGGCGGCUUCUAGUGCUUUUUUUCCUUUGGGGGGUUUCGCUGAGUGUUUGUCCUUUUGUCUUAUCUGGAUGUUCUUCCUGCUACUGAAUUGUUGGAUGAAUCUCUUCAGAUCUACCUCGGCACUUAGAAACUCGGGCGCAAACCGGAGAGGGUAGGUCAGUCCGCUGAAUGUGGACGCAAGCGGCAAAGAGUACUGGAUAUUUUAUGACUGGAAAUUCAUCAACAUGCGUGACAGAAAAUCAUCUAAAAGGCCGUCUGUGACUUUGAAGCGAAGCAACAGCAUUGAUGGACACUGGAUCAGCUUCAAGUGCCCAUACAACCAGCCGUUGGUCUCGCCAGAAUCUGCACGAGUGAUAUCAGGUCAUGAGCUCCCCUCUGGACUUGUUAUCACUGGUGAAGGUGCACUAUGGGUCAAUCGACAGACAUGAUGGCUCCGUCCUCAGUAUGGAAAACACAGAAUGUAGAGAGAAAAGAAACUUGAAGUGAUUGGUAAAAUAAAGUGUAAUUACCUUUGAAGACAGUCAAUAAACACUUCCAACAGAA